rnacentral:rRNA from 1 species
UACGUAGGGGGCUAGCGUUGUCCGGAAUCAUUGGGCGUAAAGCGCGUGUAGGCGGCCCGGUAAGUCCGCUGUGAAAGUCGGGGGCUCAACCCUCGGAUGCCGGUGGAUACUGUCGGGCUAGAGUGCGGAAGAGGAGAGUGGAAUUCCUGGUGUAGCGGUGAAAUGCGCAGAUAUCAGGAGGAACACCUGCGGUGUAGACGGCUUUCUGGACCAUAACUGACGCUGAGAUACGAAAGCGUGGGUAGCAAACAGG